GCUGGGGCUUAGCAUUAGAGGAUGGUGGGCGCCAACUGUGAGGCGGCACUGAGAGAGAACCUCUGAGGCAGCAUGAGCCGGGACGGGGCGCAGGGGCAGAGGGCCACAUGCCCAGUUUAUUUCCAGCACUUCUGAACACAAGAAGAAAAAAGCAUCUGAGAAGUGUCAAGCAAAGAGAAGGAAGGAAAACAAAUUACUGGAGAUGGAAGAGAAGGAAAGAGACUCUGGACACAGUAAUCUCUAUGUAAUCAGGCCUCAGGUCAUGUAAUUACACUGUAUGGGGCUCUCAAGCCUUUUCAUACCUUGAGCAGCAUGACCACCCUGUAAGCAGGGUCCGAGUCUGUUUGCUUUUUGUCCUUUUAACAUUAUGCUCUGUUAGCUGCUAGUGAGAGUGACUGCCCUGUAAUCAGGGUGCAAGUCACCUCCCCCUCGCUUUUGAGGGAAUUGAGCUCUUUGAUAACUUGAGCAAUGUGACCGACCUGUAACUAGGGUCUGGGUCUUUGCCGAUUUGCUCAUUUGGCAUUACACCUUGUUCUGGCCCUGUAGUCAGGAUGACAACCCUGUAAUCAGGGUGGAAGUCAUAUUCCUAUUGCUUCUGGGGGAUACUGAGCUCUUUGGAACCCUGAGCAGUGUGACUCACCUCCCUGUAAUCGGAGUCAGGUAUCUGCCCUCUUGCUGUUUUGGUAUCAUGCUCUGCCGGCAGUCUAGUCAGUGUGACCACCUGUAAUUGGGGUGCAUGUCACACCCAUUCUGAAGUAUAGGAAAUGCUUAGCCUUUUGAUAGCUUACAGAGCGUGACCUCCCUGUAAUUCGGGGACAGGUCUCUGCCCUUUUACUCACUGGCUUUAUGCACCUUUAUCAUUCUAAUCAGAGUGACCACCCUUUAAUUAGGGUGCAGGUCAAAUCCCUCUCAUUUAUCAGGGAUUAGGGUUAUUUUAGGGCCCUUAUGAACGUGACCACCCUGUAAUCAGGGUUCGGGUCUAAAGUUGUCUUCUGUGAUUAUGCUCCUUCAUUCAGCUAGUCAGAGUGACCACCUUGUAAUCAGGGUGAGAGUCAUCUUCCCCUCGCUUAUGGGAGCUACUGAUGUCUUUCUUCCUUGAGCCGUGUGACCUCCCUGUAACUAGGGUUCAGGUCUCCUUCUUUUCUUUUUCUUGUGAUGUAUUUUCCAUUAAUUGGCUAGCCCAAGGGACCGCCCUGUAAGAAGGGUUCAAGUCCUUUCCCCUUUGGCUCCUUUGGGUUGUUGGGCUAGUGACUUUGACCCCACCCUGUAAUCAGGGUGCAGGUCUUGUCCCUUUUCCCUUUGUUUUUUUUUGAGGUGAGGAAGAUUGGUCGAGUUUAACUCUGAGGGUCGAGUUACCCAUUGCAAUGAGCUCUCUUUCUGUUCUGGGAAGUCCCCCUUUUUUUGUUCGGAUGUGUAUGUGAGAGCAUGUGAUACAAGUGGGUGUGCAAGCUUUUUAAUUUUUAGUUAUUUAUUUUUAUUUUUUUAAGUUAAAUCGCUGCAGCGCUUUUUCUUUACUCUUCUCAGAAUCGGAAAAAGAGCUCAAAGUGUAUUAAUGUAUUUAUCCUCCUCCUCCCCACAAAAGGGAAGAGUAAGGGCUCAGAUGUCAUCAUGUAGUCCCUCGGACAGUGUGACCUCCCUGUAAACAGGGAUCUGGUCUCUCCCCUUCUGCUCUGUUUAGGUUGAGCUCCUUUUAGUGGGAUGAUGGCAAUGACUGGCCUUUAAGGAGGGCGAUGUAAGUCAAAUGUCUGUGACUCACAGGCAGUGCAGUAUUCCCUAGUACUAGGGCAGUAUAACCUCCCGGUAUCCAGGGUUCAGGUCUCUGCCUUUCAACCUUUUGUCACCAUGCUACUUCAGCCAGAUGGUUUCAGUCCUGACCCUGUAAUUGGGGGAGAAUUGGUUUCCCUCUUGCUUCUGGGGAAUAUUGAGCUCUGUGGAACCCUGAACAGUGUGACCGCCUUGUAACUAGGGUAAGGUUCUUUGGCCACUUGUGUGUUUGGCAUUAUGCCAUACACUGGACUACUAGUCAGCGUGACAACCCUGUAAUCAGAGUGCAUGUCACAAGUAUCUACAGAAUGGGACAUAUUGAGCCCUUUGAUACUUUGAGGAGCUUGACCUUUCUGUAAUUCAGGUUACAGUCUCUGCUAUUUGGCUAAUCCCAGUGACCAUCCUGUAAUCAGGGUACAGGUUGCAUCUAUCUUUUGAAAUCUGGAGGAUUAGAACCAUUUGCGUAACCUGGGCAGCUUGACCUCCCUGUAGCCAGGGUUUGAGUCUCUGAGGCCCUUUCGUCUCCUGUCAGUCCGCUUUCUUCACAGCCUGAGGCAAGUGACCGCUCUGUAAUCAGGGAUCUGGUCUUUGCGCUCUAGUCUCUUGUCACUAGGACAAGUGCAGCCAGCUGAUCUUAAUGAGCACUCUGUAAACAGGGUACAGGUCUCAUUAGAUCCUCCUUCUGAUGCCCCAUGAAACUGUGUCCAGUGUCCUGGCCCUUCACACUGCAUUUCCAACUUGCCUGGAAUUCCUUCUGCCAAGUCUCCUGCCUUCUUCGGCACAUACUGUGAUCCUGGAGACCGAAAGACUGCUGGUUUUGCUGCUCCAAGCACAGGUGGACAAGAAUAAAGUGUCAGGAAUGUCAAGCAAAGAAGAGAAAAGAAGACAUGUCACUGAAGAUUGCAGAGAAGGAAAGGGACUCUGGGCACAGUAACCUCCCUGUAAUCAGGCCUCAGGUCAUGUAAUGACACUUUAUGGGGCUCUUGAACCUUUUCAUACCUUGAGCAGCAUGACUGCCCUAUAAGCAGGGUCCGGGUCUGUUUGCUUUUUGUCCUUUUCACAUUAUGCUCCGUUAGCUGGCUAGUGAGAGUGACUGCCCUGUAAUCAGGGUGCAAGUCAGCUCCCCCUCGCUUUCGAGGGACAUUGAGUUCUUGGUAACUUGAGCAACGUGACCGCCCUGUAACUAGGGUCUAGGUCUUUGCCCACUUGCUUGUUUGGCAUUACACCAUACACUGGCCCAAUAGUCAGCAUGACAACCCUGUAAUCAGGGUGCAUGUCACAAGUAUCUACAGAAUGGGACAUUUUGAACCCUUUGAUACUUUCAGGAGCUUGACCUUCCUGUAAUUCAGGUUACGGUCUCUGCUAUUUGGCUAAUCCCAGUGACCACCCUGUAAUCAGGGUACAGGUUGAAUCUGGUUUUUGAAAUCUGGAGGAUUAGAACCAUUUGUUUAACAUGGGCAGCUUGACCUCCCUGUUACCAGGGUUUGAGUCUCUGAGGCCCUUUGGUCUCUUGGUAUUGUUCUUUCUUCACAGCCUGAGGUGAGUGACCGCCCUGUAAUCAGGGAUCUGGUCUUUGCGCUCUUGUCUCUUGUGACUUGACUUUCCUGUAAUUCAGGUUACAGUCUCCUCUAUUUGGCUAAUCCCAGUGACCACCCUGUAAUCAGGGUACAGGUUGCAUUUAUCUUUCGAAAUCUGGAGGAUUAGAACCAUUUGUGUUACAUGGGCAGCUUGACCUCCCUGUAACCAGGGUUUGAGUCGCUGAGGCCCUUUGGUCUCCUGUCAGUCUGCUUUCUUCACAAUCUGAGGCAAGUGACCACUCUGUAAUCAGGGAUCUGGUCUUUGCGCUCUAGUCUCUUGUCACUAGGACAAGUGCAGCCAGCUGGUCGUAAUGAGCACCCUGUAAACAGGGUACAGGUCUCAUUAGAUCCUCCUUCUGAUGCCCCAUGAAACUGUGUCCAGAGUCCUGGCCCUUCGCACAGCAUUUCAUACUUGCCUGGAAUUCCUUCUGCCAAGUCUCCUGCCUUCUUCGGCACAUACUGUGCUCUUGGAGACUGAAAAACUGCUGUUUUUGCUGCUCCAAGCACAGGUGGACAAGAAUAAAGUGUCAGGAAUGUCAAGCAAAGAAGAGAAAAGAAGACAUGUCACUGAAGAUUGCAGAGAAGGAAAGUGACUCUGGGCAUAGUAACCUCCCUGUAAUCAUGCCUCAGGUCAUGUAAUUACACUGUAUGGGGCUCUCAAGCCUUUUCAUACCUUGAGCAGCAUGACCGCCCUGUAAGCAAGGUCCGAGUCUGUUUGCUUUUUGUCCUUUUCACAUUAUGCUCCAUUAGCUGCUAAUGAGAAUGACUGCCCUGUAACCAGGGUGCAAGUCACCUCCCCCUCGCUUUUGAGGGAAUUGAGCGCUUUGAUAAAUUGAGCAUGUGACCGCUCUGUAACUAGGGUCCAGGUCUUUGCCCACUUGCUCGUUUGGCAUUACGCCUUGUUGUGGCCCUGUAGUCAGGAUGACGACCCUGUAAUCAGGGUAGAAGUCAUAUUCCAUUUGCUUUUGGGGGAUACCGAGCUCUUUGGAACCAGGAGGUGCGGGACUCAUCUCCCUAUAAUUCGGGGUCUGUUUUCUUCCCCCUGGCUGUUUUGGCAUCAUGCUCUGCUGGCAAUCUAGUCAGUGUGACCCCCUCUAAUUGGGGUGCAUGUCACACCAUUCUGAAGUAUAGGAAAUACUUAGCCUUGUGAUAUCUUGCGGAGCGUGACCUCCCUGUAAUUUGGGGACAGGUCUCUGCCCUUUUACUCACUGGCUUUAUGCACCUUUAUCAUUCUAAUCAGAGUGACCACCCUUUAAUUAGGGUGCAGGUCAAAUCCCUCUCAUUUAUCAGGGAUUAGGGUUAUUUUAGGGCCCUUACGAGCAUGACCACCCUGUAAUCAGGGUUCAGGUCUAAUGUCGUCUUCUGUGAUUAUGCUCCUUCAUUCAGCUAGUCAGAGUGACCACCUUGUAAUCAGGGUGAGUGUCAUCUUCCCCUCGCUUAUGGGAGCUACUCAUGUCUUUCUUACUUGAGCCGUGUGACCUCCCUGUAACUAGGGUUCAGGUCUCCUACUUUUCUUUUUCUUGUGAUGUAUUUUCCAUUAAUCAGCUAGCCCAAGGGACCGCCCUGUAAGAAGGGUUCAAGUCCUUUCCCCUUUGGCUCCUUUGGGUUGUUGAGCUAGUGACUUUGACCCCACCCUGUAAUCAGGGUGCAGGUCUUGUCCCUUUUCCCUUUGUUUUUUUUUGAGGGGAGGAAGAUUGGUCGAGAUUAACACUGUGGGUCGAGUGACCUGUUGCCACGAGCUCUCUUUCUGUUCUGGGAAGUCCCCCUUUGUUUUGUACGGAUGUGUUUACGAGAGCAUGUGAUACAAGUGGGUGUGCAAGCUUUUUAAUUUUUAGUUAUUUAUUUUUAUUUUUUUAAGUUAAAUCGCUGCAGCACUUUUUCUUUACUCUUCUCAGAAUCGGAAAAAGAGCUCAAAGUGUAUUAAUGUAUUUAUCCUCCUCCUCCCCACAAAAGGGAAGAGUAAGGGCUCAGAUGUCAUCAUGUAGUCCCUUGGACAGUGUGACCUCCCUGUAAACAGGGAUCUGGGCUCUCCCCUUCUGCUCUGUUUAGGUUGAGCUCCUUUUAGUGGGAUGAUGGCAAUGACUGGCCUUUAAAGAGGGCAAUGUAAGUCAAAUGCCUGUGACUCACAGGCAGUGCAGUAUCCCCUAGUACUAGGGCAGUAUAACCUCCCUGUAUCCAGGGUUCAGGCCUUUCAACCUUUUGUCACCAUGCUACUUCAGCCAGUUGGUUUCAGUCCUGACCCUGUAAUUGGGGGAGAAUUGGUUUCCCUCUCGCUUCUGGGGGAUAUUGAGCUCUGUGGAACCCUGAACAGUGUGACCGCCUUGUAACUAGGGUAAGGUUUUUUGCCCACUUGCGUGUUUGGCAUUAUGCCAUACACUGGCCUACUAGUCAGCGUGACAACCAUGUAAUCAGGGUGCAUGUCACAAGUGUCUGCAGAAUAGGACAUAUUUAGCCCUUUGAUACUUUCAGGAGCUUGACCUUCCUGUAAUUCAGGUUACAGUCUCGGCUAUUUGGCUAAUCCCAGUGACCACUCUGUAAUCAGGGUACAGGUUGAAUCUAUCUUUCGAAAUCUGGAGGAUUAGAACCAUUUGUGUUACAUGGGCAGCUUGACCUCCCUGUAACCAGGGUUUGAGUCUCUGAAGUCCUUUGAUCUUUUGGCCCUGCGCUUUCUUCACAGCCUGAGGCAAGUGACCGCUCUGUAAUCAGGGAUCUGGUCUUUGCGCUCUAGUCUCUUGUCACUAGGACAAGUGCAGCCAGCUGGUCUUAAUGAGCACCCUGUAAACAGGGUACAGGUCUCAUCAGACCCUCCUUCUAGUGCCCCAUGUAACUGUGUCCAGAGUCCUGGCCCUUCGCACUGCAUUUCCAACUUGCCUCGAAUUCCUUCUGUCAAGUCUACUGCCUUCUUCGGCACAUACUAUGCUCUUGGACUCUGAAAGACUGCUGCUUUUGCUGCUCCAAGCACAGGUGGACAAGAAUAAAGUGUCAGGAAUAUCAAGCAAAGAAGAGAAAAGAAGAUAUGUCACUGAAGACUGAGGAGAAGGAAAGGGACUCUGGGCACAGUAACCUCCCUGUAUUCAGGCCUCAAGUCA